rnacentral:rRNA from 1 species
ACGAACGCUGGCGGCGUGCUUAACACAUGCAAGUCACGGGGGCCCGCAAGGGCAACCGGCGAACGGGUGCGUAACACGUGAGCAACCUGCCGAUCUGCGGGGAUAGCCGGCCCAACGGCCGGGUAAUACCGCAUACGCUUCUCGCGAGGAGUCUCGUGGGAAGGAACCUCCGGGGCGGAUCGAGGGGCUCGCGGCCUAUCAGCUAGUUGGCGAGGUAAUGGCUCACCAAGGCUCCGACGGGUAGCUGGUCUGAGAGGAUGGCCAGCCACAUUGGGACUGCGACACGGCCCAGACUCCUACGGGAGGCAGCAGUGGGGAAUCUUGCGCAAUGGGCGAAAGCCUGACGCAGCGACGCCGCGUGUGGGAGGAAGCUCUUCGGGUGUAACCACUGUUGCCCGGGACGAAACCCGCCUUUCGAGGCGAUUGACGGUACCGGGUGAGGAAGCGCCGGCUAACUCUGUGCCAGCAGCCGCGGUAAUACAGAGGGCGCGAGCGUUGUCCGGAAUCACUGGGCGUAAAGGGCGCGUGGGCGGCGGGGUAAGCGUGUGGUGAAAGCUCGGGCUCAACUCCGAGUCGGCCAUGCGAACUGCUUCGCUCGAGCACUGUAGAGGCAGGUGGAAUUCCGGUGUAGCGGUGGAAUGCGUAGAGAUCCGGAAGAACACCGGUGGCGAAGGCGGCCUGCUGGCAGUAGCUGACGCUGAUGCGCGACAAGCCGGGGAGCUAACGGAUUAGAUACCCCGGUAGUCCGGCCGUAAACGAUGGUCACUAGCAUGGUAGGGGUAUCGACCCCUGUUGCGCGCUAACGCAUUAAGUAUCCCCGCCUGGGGAGUACGGCCGCAAGGCUUGAACUCAAAGGAAUUGACGGGGGCCCGCACAAGCGGUGGAGCAUGUUGUUUAAUACGUCACUAACCGUAGAACCUUACCAGGGCUUGACAUCCGUCGACCGUCGGUGAAAGCCGAUUUUCCCCGAGCAAUCGGGACGGCGAGACAGGUGUUGCAUGGCUGUCGUCAGCUCGUGUCGUGAGAUGUUGGGUUAAGUCCCGCAACGAGCGCAACCCUCACCCCAUGUUGCCAGCGGAUCGAGCCGGGCACUCUCGGGGAACUGCCUGGGUAACCGGGAGGAAGGUGGGGAUGACGUCAAGUCAGCAUGGCCCUUACGCCCUGGGCUACAAACAUGCUACAAUGGGCGGCAGACAAGGGAUCCGAUACCGUGAGGUGGAGACAAUCUCAAAAUCCGCCCCCAGUUCAGAUCGCAGGCUGCAACUCGCCUGCGUGAAGUCGGAAUCGCUAGUAACCGCAGAUCAGCUAAGCUGCGGUGAAUACGUUCCCGGGCCUUGUACACACCGCCCGUCACGUCACUUGAGUUGUCUGCACCCGAAGUCCGUGGCCCAACUCGCAAGAGAGGGAGCGGCCGAAGGUGUGGGGAGCGAGAGGGACG